rnacentral:rRNA from 1 species
UACAGGGGGGCAAGCGUUGUUCGGAAUUACUGGCGUAAAGGGCUCGUAGGCGGCCAACUAAGUCACACGUGAAAUCCCCAGGCUUAACCUGGGAACUGCGUGUGAUACUGGAUGGCUUGAAUCCGGGAGAGGGAUGCGGAAUUCCAGGUGUAGCGGUGAAUGACGUAGAUAUCUGGAGGAACACCGGUGGCGAAGGCGGCAUCCUGGACCAAUUCUGACACUGAGGAGCGAAAGCCAGGGGAGCAAACGGG